GGUGAACCGUUCAGGAAAAAAAAUACUACCCCAUUGCCACAUGAUUGCGUUUAGAGAAAAAUAGUUUGUAUUGUAUAAGUGUACGAAAGGGGAAGCAAUACAUAAAAUGAGGAUCUUAGAAUCACUCAAGUGGUAAAGAAAUUAAAAUGUAUGCAUGAUUUGAGUAGUUAAAUAGUUGAAUACAGGUUCAUAUUGAUGGUCUUAGGUUCAAGUCCCAAACAAAUAGAGUUCUAGGUCCCAUAGCUAACACAUCAAAGUAAAAUAAAAAAGCUUAUUAGUACUGUCUUGCUAGAACUAGGAAAAUUCGAUCAAUUGAUAGUAGAAAUCACAAACACCAAUUCUAUAUUAGCAAUGCUGUAAAGGAUAAGGUUAACGAGAAAAGGAUAAGGUUAACGAGAAAAGGAAAAUAAAUAUACGAUCAGGGAAAAAGAAAUUAAAUAAUUCUGAAUGCAAAUUCAGGGAUAUAAGCAUGUAUUCAACUGGAAAUUGCAUGCUUGGAAACUGGAAGUCAUACUUCAACAACUGAAAAAUGUCUUUAUAAAU
rnacentral:lncRNA from 1 species